GAAGAAAUGAAGUCAGUGCAAACAGAAAACCCCUAAACCUUACAAAAACUAACAAAAAUACAAAGAGCGGAUAGUGUAAUAUGUAAUAAAUAAUAAGUGCUGCCUCUGGCACUCCAGCAGAGCAUGGGGGUAUUCCAAUAAAACGUCUGUCAUACACAUGGUUAAUCACAAAUACGCAUCCUCAUGAUAUUUCAUACGGCUCUGAUACCAUAAGUACCUAUAUGUUGGGGAUCCGGAACCGUAUCAAAUAUUCCUUAAACUGGGCUACUAUGCUUUGAUAUGUAUGUGAACUUCAAAACAAGUUAUUUGGUUAUACUUUUGAGCGGCUGUCCAGUGAAGAUUAAGUACACUUAAAUGAACGAUGCAACGUCCGGAAGCGAGGUGUCCGGUUUCCUAGCAACGAAUAUAACAAACUAGGGACUCUCUGGGUGAUAAACCGGAUAUGACGGCCACAUGCGUUCCAAGGACCGGAUAUGACGCGCGCCUGCGGUCCAAGGACCGGAAGUGACUGUUUUGGCGUUCCACUAAGCGCCAAUUUCAAACAGCUGGUAAGGGGGUAUUUAGGGAAGUGAAUAACAUAGUGUGUGACCUUCUGGAGGAACAGGACGAUACCAGAGCGCAAGGGAGCUUCUGGACACAUUAUUGGUCCCUAUCUGAAUGGGCUCCUGAUACAUAUGACCGUGUCUGAUGCUAAGUGGGAUGUAUGUGAUUGGUCCCCUUGGGUCCUUGCACCUAUCAGUAUCUGCGCUAUCUGGUCCUGUUUCCUCCACCUGUAUCAUAAGUGCUGCUACAUUAGAGGACACUAGUAUUACAUAUUCAGCAUGGUAAGUAGGGGCCCUGUUACAGAUUUUGCAAUGGGGCCAAUAAGUUGCUAGUUUGUAAGCCGGCCUCUCCGUUAGAUGACAUUCAUGAUGAUGACACAGCCGUCUAUCAUUUCACCUUACUCUGCCGCCAUGGGUCUCCACGUGUGCACCAGUAACCUAGUUCAGAUAUUGUCUCCACAGGUCCUUACUGCCAAAACGUCACUUCUUUUUGUGGAAUCCUGACUACCCUUCUACACAAGAUGCCCAUUGUUUUGCAGAACACUCAGAGGAUUUAGCCCUGCAGAACCCCAGUGUAAGGCUACAUGCA